rnacentral:tRNA from 1 species
UCCCUGGAAGUCUAGUGGGUAAGUCUCUGCUCUUCCAAUGCAGAAACGUGGGUUCAAUCCCUGGUCAGGGAA